UACGAAGGGGGCUAGCGUUGCUCGGAAUCACUGGGCGUAAAGCGCACGUAGGCGGACUCUUAAGUCAGGGGUGAAAUCCUGGAGCUCAACUCCAGAACUGCCUUUGAUACUGAGAGCCUUGAGUUCGGGAGAGGUGGAGUGGAACUGCGAGUGUAGAGGUGAAAUUCGUAGAUAUUCGCAAGAACACCAGUGGCGAAGGCGGCUCACUGGCCCGAGUACUGACGCUGAGGUGCGAAAGCGUGGGGAGCAAAGCAGG
rnacentral:rRNA from 1 species